rnacentral:rRNA from 1 species
CGUAGGGUGCAAGCGUUAAUCGGAAUUACUGGGCGUAAAGCGUGCGCAGGCGGUAAUGUAAGACAGAUGUGAAAUCCCCGGGCUCAACCUGGGAACUGCAUUUGUGACUGCAUUGCUGGAGUGCGGCAGAGGGGGAUGGAAUUCCGCGUGUAGCAGUGAAAUGCGUAGAUAUGCGAGGAACACCGAUGGCGAAGGCAAUCCCCUGGGCCUGCACUGACGCUCAUGCACGAAAGCGUGGGGAGCAAACAGGAUUAGAUACCCUGGUAGUCCACGCCCUAAACGAUGUCAACUGGUUGUUGGGUCUUCACUGACUCAGUAACGAAGCUAACGCGUGAAGUUGACCGCCUGGGGAGUACGGCCGCAAGGUUG